UCAGAUGAGACAUAAUCCCCAGCGUUUGGCCCUGUGAUUCUUCAAGACAAGACCUUGAUCCCAUCUACACUCAGUACAUGAAGAAGCAGACACAUGAGAUGAUGGCUGAAGUGAGUCAGUGAAGGAGAAGAUCAAGAUCUGGAGGAGGACAUGCAGUUUACACUUCAGGAGAAAGACACAGAUGAGCUCCAGGGCAGAUUCAGCAAUCAUAAAGGAUCUAGGACAUGGAGUCAUGAUACCCACAGAAAAAUGGGUAUCAAAGUAUGCCCAAACAUGUUGGAUGAAUAUAUUUAAAUAUAUAAUGUCUAAUCAGUCAGCCCAAGUGAAGCCACACAAUGUAAAAGAAUAAAUGAAUCAAAUAAUAAAAAUGUAAUA